AUUGAACGCUGGCGGCAUGCUUUACACAUGCAAGUCGAACGGCAGCAUGGGUGCUUGCACCUGAUGGCGAGUGGCGAACGGGUGAGUAAUGUAUCGGAACAUAUCCGCAAGUGGGGGAUAACGUAGCGAAAGUUACGCUAAUACCGCAUAUUCCCUGAGGGGGAAAGGAGGGGAUCCGCAAGGACCUUUCGCUUACGGAGUGGCCGAUAUCAGAUUAGCUAGUUGGUGAGGUAAAGGCUCACCAAGGCGACGAUCUGUAGCGGGUCUGAGAGGAUGAUCCGCCACCCUGGGACUGAGACACGGCCCAGACUCCUACGGGAGGCAGCAGUGGGGAAUUUUGGACAAUGGGGGCAACCCUGAUCCAGCCAUGCCGCGGGAGUGAAGAAGGCCUUCGGGUUGUAAAGCUCUUUCAGCCGGAAAAAAAUCGCAUCACCUAAUACGUGGUGUGGAUGAUGGUACCGGAAGAAGAAGCACCGGCUAACUACGUGCCAGCAGCCGCCGUAA
rnacentral:rRNA from 1 species